UGUAUAUAUAUAUAUAUAUGUGUGUGUGUGUGUGCAACCUGUGGAAAGGUGUGCCUUUCAGUUGGAGGAUUGAAAAGACAUGUCAAAAGAGUUCGUACUGUGGCACCUGUUUCUUCUGACAGCCAGCACAGCUGUGCAUUAUGCAAUAG